CAGAACGAACGCUGGCGGCAAGCUUAACACAUGCAAGUCGAACGGACCAUACGCGCAGCUUGCUGCGUGUAUGGUUAGUGGCAGACGGGUGAGUAAUGCAUAGGAAUCUACCUAGUAGUAUAGGAUAGCCACUAGAAAUGGUGGGUAAUACUGUAUAAUCCCUGCGGGGGAAAGAUUUAUCGCUAUUAGAUGAGCCUAUGUCAGAUUAGCUAGUUGGUGGGGUAAUGGCCUACCAAGGCGGUGAUCUGUAGCUGGUCUGAGAGG
rnacentral:rRNA from 1 species